rnacentral:lncRNA from 1 species
GUGUGUUCUUUAUUCAUAAAAAACCCAUUUUGGACACUGGUUUAGGUACAUUUACCAGCAACCAUCAUUUUGACCUAGGUAGGGAGAAAUAUGGUUCCACCAUUCAUCUCUGAACACAUUCAAGUGGUGUAUACUAGGUCCAAUUAAAGGGAAUGAAAGCUUUCCCUUCCUGACACAUGACACUAAAUAAUACAUUUUCCUUUAACCCUCACAGCCAAGGCCAGUGCUGUGGACUUAUUGACCUAAUGAAAGAAUACCAGAACUUGAAAUCAGCUGUCUCAAAAGUCAUAGAAAAUGCCAGCAGUGUCACUGUAACCAGAACUACUAUAAAAGAUCAGGAGGAUCUUAAGUGGGCUUUUUCCAAGCAUGAAACUGCCAAGCAUGAAAUGAACUGUAAGCAGAAAGAGCUGGACCGUUUUACCAGUAAAGGCAAACACUUGUUAUCUGAACUGAAAAAGAUCCACAGUAGUGACUUCACCUUGGUGGAAAAAGACAUGGAGAGCACCAUGGACAAGUGGCUGGAUGUAUUGGAGAAAUUGGAAGAAAACAUGGAAAGGCUGAGGACAAGCCUGUCCAUUUGGGAUGAUGUACUUUCAAGUAAAGAUGAAAUCGAUGGGUGGUCAAACAGCUCUCUUCCACAGCUGGCUGAAAACAUGAGCAACCUGAGCAGCAGUCUCCGAGCUGAAGAAUUCCUUAAAGAAUUUGAGGUAAACUGACACCACCUGCUUAUGGAUCUGCUUAUUGCUGUCUAGAAUAUGAAAAAAUUGUGGGUUUUUUUUUAAAGUUUAUCCUUCUUUUCAAAGAGACACAGGAGCAGUCCAAACUAUAAACUAUUUUCUGCUAUUU